GGGGAUCUGGUUUAGUGGUAUAACGUCUCAUUCGCAUCGUCAGUUACGUGACUUGAGAAGGUCUUGGGUUCGAUUCCCAAGUUCUCCA
rnacentral:tRNA from 1 species